rnacentral:tRNA from 1 species
UGCGACGCAGCUCGAUGGCAGAGCGCCCGCUGUUCGAGCGGUGCGGUGGUGGUUCGACUCCACCCGUCGCAG